rnacentral:tRNA from 1 species
GGCCCAGUGGCCAAGUGGUACGGCGUUGGUCUCGUAAACCAAAGGUCCAGGGUUCGAAUCCCUGCUGGGCCU